GACUGCUAAUACCGAAUACGCUUGGAAGACCGCAUGAUCUUCCAAGGGAAAGGGUGGCCUCUACCUGCAAGCUAUCGCCUGAAGAGGGGUUUGCGUCUGACUAGGCAGUUGGUGAGGUAACGGCCCACCAAACCUACGAUCAGUAGCCGGUCUGAGAGGAUGAACGGCCACACUGGAACUGAGACACGGUCCAAACUCCUACGGGAGGCAGCAGUGAGGAAUAUUGGUCAAUGGACGAGAGUCUGAACCAGCCAAGUAGCGUGCAGGAUGACGGCCCUAUGGGUUGUAAACUGCUUUUAUAAGGGAAUAAAGUGAGUCUCGUGAGAUUUUUUGCAUGUACCUUAUGAAUAAGGACCGGCUAAUUCCGUGCCAGCAGCCGCGGUAAUACGGAAGGUCCGGGCGUUAUCCGGAUUUAUUGGGUUUAAAGGGAGCGUAGGCCGGAGAUUAAGCGUGUUGUGAAAUGUAGAUGCUCAACAUCUGCACUGCAGCGCGAACUGGUUUCCUUGAGUACGCACAAAGUGGGCGGAAUUCGUGGUGUAGCGGUGAAAUGCUUAGAUAUCACGAAGAACUCCGAUUGCGAAGGCAGCUCACUGGAGCGCAACUGACGCUGAAGCUCGAAAGUGC
rnacentral:rRNA from 1 species